rnacentral:rRNA from 1 species
CAAGGAAUCUUGCGCAAUGGGCGAAAGCCUGACGCAGCAACGCCGCGUGGGGGAAGAAGGCCCUUGGGUUGUAAACCCCUUUUGCAGGGGAAGAUAAUGACGGUACCCUGCGAAUAAGCCACGGCUAACUACGUGCCAGCAGCCGCGGUAAUACGUAGGUGGCAAGCGUUGUCCGGAUUUACUGGGCGUAAAGAGCGCGUAGGCGGCUUGUUAAGUCUGGGGUGAAAUCUCCCGGCUCAACCGGGAGGGGUCCUUGGAUACUGGCAGGCUGGAGGGGAGCAGAGGAGAGCGGAAUUCCCGGUGUAGUGGUGAAAUGCGUAGAUAUCGGGAGGAACACCAGUGGCGAAGGCGGCUCUCUGGGCUCUACCUGACGCUGAGGUGCGAAAGCGUGGGGAGCGAACCGGAUUAGAUACCCUGGUAGUCCACGCCCUAAACGAUGGGCACUAGGCGUCGCGGGUGUCGACCCCUGCGGUGCCGUAGCUAACGCGUUAAGUGCCCCGCCUGGGGAGUACGGUCGCAAGGCUG